UUGAAUUCAGGUUAUGCUAAAUCUUGAACUGUUUGUUUUUCUUAUACCACAUAUUGCACUAAUGUACAGUCUCUUAUAAAUCAUAGAAUAUAACCCAGUGCUUGAGCAGAAUCAGAAGGUUUCCAGCAUCAGUCGACCAAUUUCUCAUCUCCGCUCAUAAAUGAUUGAGAUCCACAAAAGCCAUGAAGAGUUCACCUUUCCUUUUCUUGUGAUUGCUUAUGCUACUGGAUCAUAACGAUUCCUUGUAUGCACACAGAUAAGAUUCAGCUCUGCUAUUCCGAUUUCAUAACCUUCCAUCUCCAGAAGAACCUACAAUCAAGUGAGCAAGGUAUGUCCUUGUGUUUCCUAUUCAUAAUGACAUGUAAAUGCCACUAAGCACACACCAGAGAUAGAUGUUAACAAGAACUAAAGAAACGAGUAAACAGCCAAUUGAUGCAAUGAUGACAUGAUGAUGAAAAGAUUUUUGCUUGAUUUGUCAACCACUGAUGACAGCUUCUUCGUUUCAAACAGUGAAAAUGGACUGAUUGUCCUCUGUUUGGAGCGUUUCUCUAUCAUUUGGGUUUACACGACUCGAAAGAUAGCUAUAGAAACAGAUGUUAUAUGAAACUGAACCUUCUGAAAGCCAGUUCAUCAAGGACCAGCAGCAUCUCUUUUUUGGUUGCUUGCAGACUGCAACGAUUGAUGAAGACAUGAGUCCAUACAAGGAAGGGACUUCUCUAUCAUUUACAUGAAACUUGAAACUUCUAAUAGCCAGCGCAUUAAGGGCUUGCAGCAACUCUUUUGUUGUUGCUUGCAGACUGCGGCAGGUGAAGAACACAUGUAUUCACAGCAGAGCUUUCUCAAUGGUCAAAAAGGAAAGCUAUCCCCCACCCACCCAACAAAAAGGUCGCAAAUCCAUGGGAGACAUCAAACGUCAAGCACUUAUCAGUGACUUUUGACGGUGCCAAACUUUUUUGACUACGGUUUGCCGAUGCUUCUUCUUCCUUUUCACAUAUUUCUGCAUAAGACAUCCGUUGCCUGAGAAGUUGUGAUCCUUUUGCUUUCACCUUUUCUUUGUGAAGGUGUCACCGCUGAUCAAUCUGGGACAGAAGCCAAGAAUUUGCUUCCCUUAAAAUGACCACUACUUCCUUUCUGUGAAG
rnacentral:lncRNA from 1 species